rnacentral:rRNA from 1 species
UACGUAGGGUGCAAGCAUUAAUCGGAUUUAUUGGGCGUAAAGGGCGCGUAGGCGGAGAUGUAAGUCAGAUGUGAAAUCCCGGGGCUCAACCCCGGAACAGCAUUUGAAACUGCGUUUCUAGAGGGUAGGCGGAGAAAACGGAAUUCCACAAGUAGCGGUGAAAUGCGUAGAUAUGUGGAAGAACACCAGUGGCGAAGGCGGUUUUCUAGCUUAUACCUGACGCUAAAGCGCGAAAGCAAGGGGAGCAAACAGG